AACGGCCAUACCAUGCUGAAUAUACCGGUUCUCGUUACAUCACCGAAGUCAAGCAUCAUUGGGCGCGGUCAGUACUUGGGUGGGUGACCACCUGGGAACACUGCGUGCCGUU